ACUCCCUGUUUGCUGUUGUUUGAUUUCUGUUUUUGUACAGUAAUAGGACUAGUGCAAUGAUUUCUUUAUUUAUUUUUGCAUUAAUAUGUUGCGACUUGCGGCAUAUUGAUGCUGAUCAAUCUGAAACUGACAACAAACGUCUGGUUCUGCAUAGUGAAUUAGAUAUAGCAAAUGAAUUUGCUACUCUCAGACAAGAACUUGCGCAAUACAAGGAGGAAAUGCAGAAAUUAACAUCAAGACUGAACGAGAAAGAUACACAGAUCGCUAAAAUCCAAGCAGCUUCAGGUUCGCUUUAUACUAGAUGGGGACGAACAACUUGUCCCACAAACGGAACAACACUAGUUUAUUCUGGUUACAUGGCAGGGAGUUACGGCGUUCUCCGUGACGGUACUGGAUCAGGUUCGAACUACUUGUGUCUUGCUGGUCAACCCACAUGGGACUACUUUUCCGAAACAAUAAACAACGACAUUCGUGUAACAGGUGUUGAGUACGAGUUCCGCGCCUCGCACGACCAUGACAUCCAGGCCAUAUUCGGAUCCAAUAUCCUAGAAAGUGAGGCACCUUGCUCGGUUUGCCGCACUCAGAGAAGUACUAAUCUUAUGAUUCCCGGCCGGAAGGACUGUUAUCCAGGGUGGACAAAGGAGUACAGUGGCUAUCUUGUCGGCUCUCAUCCUGUUUAUGAUGAUUCGACGGAGUACGUGUGUUUAGACAGGCGACCGGAGACAGUGUCACACAUUGGAAGCAGCGACAACGACAAUAUGCUUUAUUUUGUCGAAGCAUUUUGCGGGAAAAGUUUGGAAUGUCCACCGUAUGUUCAUAACAGAGAACUGUCAUGCGUAGUUUGUUCUAAGUAAUUAUCUUACAAUUUAAUUCUGACAACUGAGAUAUGAAAUAUAAAGCAAAAAGAAAACUGUUAAAAUAAAGUAUAAAAUUAUUAUAUAUAUAUAUAGUUCUUUUUUUUUUUUAAUUUUUCAUGAAGUUUCAGUAGGUUCGGCUAGAUGCUGCUAGUGAACGUUAUAUAGCCUCUACUUGGGUUCUGCAAAUAACUGAAAUGAAAAUUGAUUGAACUGCCUAAGACCGAUGUAUUUGUAAAAUGUUACGGCUACUGACAUAAUUCAUAUAUGACAAUAUCUACGGAGUACGUUUCUUCGGACGGGCGAAUGGAGACUGUGGUAAUGAACGGCUAUGACAGUAUCAUCUACUUCGUGGAAUCAAUUUGCGGGAAAAGUUAAGAAUGUCCACCGUACGAUCGUAAAUUGUUCUAUGUCGCUUGUGUACAAUUGAACAUAAUUUGAUAUUUCCUCUUCCUUAUAUUUCAUAUUUCUCGGUGAUAACGUUUCACCGCAGAUGACAAAACAACAAAACCGGAAGUCUUAUGCUUUUACUUCCCUUUGUAAUGCCUUGACGUAUUUCCUGUUUAUGGAAAAAUAUCCAGAACGUUGUUUAAAUACGCUAUUUGUAGUAAAGCAGCGCUACAAAAUAAGUCAUUUUUAUCUUAUUUUUACUAUCAUUUGAAAGACAAAGGUUUUAACAUUUGCUGUAGUUGCAGAUGGGAAUAUCUCGCUUUAGGGCAACUGUUUACACAGAAACUCGAUGGAGCCUUCAUACCGCGUAAAAAGGUACACACAAGCCGGAUAUUCCCUCUUGCAUCUACAACUAGUCAAAGAAUCUUAUACCUUAGUAUAUAUGCUUGUUUCAUUAAUUUUUUUGUUAUAACUGUCAUUUGCUUUUCUUUGUAAUGCACCAUCUACACUCCACACACCAGUGUGUAGUGUAGAAUUGUAGAGAUUUGGUUGGUUCCUAGUAUGUGGCAAUAGUCUUUAGUGGCUUUUUAUGAAACAAAGCAGUCUGACCUUCGUUUAAUGGCACGAUAAAGUUAUACAGGCAUAGGUCUAUCACUAUAGGUUCUCGGAGUACAUUUUAUAUCCUGCUAAGCGGCACCAGUCUUAUCAGUGAAUGAAAAUUACAUAAGUCAACACUAUAAGUUUACUUUCCCAUCUUAAAGUUCUUUACAGCAGCUGUACAAUGUUUUCAAUAUUUAGUUUUGUGUCAGUUUGUUGUUUCUUAGUUAACGCUGAUGAUGGGUUAAAUUCUGACACCAAACGUCUGGUUCUGCAUAGUGAGCUGGAUUUAGCGCAUGAAGUCGCUACUCUUAGACAAGAGCUUAAGCAAUACAAGGACGAAAUCCAGAAUCUAACGUCACGACUGAACGAGAAAGAUACACAGAUAGCUAAACUUGAAGCAGCUUCAGGUUCUGGGUCAUCCUACGUAAGAUGGGGCCGCACCACCUGUCCAGGAAAUGGAACUGACAUAGUUUAUUCAGGUUACAUGGGCACGGCUUCAAACGAUUUUAAAGUUGGUACUGGCUCUAACUACCUUUGCCUUUCUGAGAAGCCGCAGUGGGACCAUUACGAGGACUCUAUAGAAAGCCUGGGUAAAAUCGCUGGGGUAGAAUAUCAGUUCGUGAAUCACCGUGGAAAUGGCGCGAGCAAUUUCUUUGGGUAUAAUGUAUACAAUGAUAAUGCUCCGUGCGCCGUGUGCCACACUCGGAGAAGCUCGAGUAUCAUGAUACCGGGAAGAAUGGACUGUUAUAGUGGCUGGACAAAGGAAUACAACGGGUAUCUAGUGAGUGGAUGGGUAGGACAGAGUCACGAUUCGGAGUUUAUUUGUCUAGACCGGAGACCGGAAACAGUGGUUGGUGGGAAAACGGAUGACGAUGAGGCCAGACUAUUUUUUGUGGAAGCCGUCUGUGGGAAGAGUCUAGAGUGUCCACCUUACAUCCACGGUCGCGAACUAACUUGUGUUGUCUGUUCAAAAUAAUGAAAAUGAAAUACAUAUCAGCUUUCCAUCAAAAUCUAUAUUUUUGUUAUUAGCACUACAAGCACAGAUGCACCUAUGUACAGUUUUGUUGGCUUGUCUUGCCAUUUAGUAACGUUACCCUUUAGCUGUGAUGUGCCAGAGACAGUUAUUAUCAUGCGCAAAACAUGGGGCACCUUCUUGCUUAAGACAGUCACGGCAUCUACUUUAAAAAGUGUUUCUUUGUCAGAUAACAUUUCAGGACAUUAAUUUUUUAUCUCUCAGUAAACAAGCGGUUGGUAUAUACAGGAGGGCCAAGCGGUCAUAAACAUCAGCGUUCAGGUGAAUAACAUGUUCCUAAUAACUGUUACUUUGAUGAUUCAGUUUUACUUCAGGAAAUCAAAACAUUGACACGAUACUCUGUAAAUAAUUUCGAUUUCUCGGAGUGCGGACGAG